CCCUUAGAUGUCCGGGGCCGCACGCGCGCUACACUGAAGGAAUCAGCGUGGCUUUCUCCCUGACCCGAAAGGGUUGGGAAACCCGUUGAAUCUCCUUCGUGAUAGGGAUUGGGGCUUGAAAUUGUUCCCCAUGAACGAGGAAUUCCCAGUAAGCGCGAGUCAUAAGCUCGCGUUGAUUACGUCCCUGCCCUUUGUACACACCGCCCGUCGCUACUACCGAUCGGAUGGUUUAGUGAGACCCUCGGACUGGUCCCGCUGUCGGACAGGCAACUGUUUGCAGCGCGUGCGCCGGGAAGAAGGUCGAACUUGACUAUCUAGAGGAAGUAAAAGUCGUAACA
rnacentral:rRNA from 1 species